rnacentral:rRNA from 1 species
AAUAGCCUCGGGAAACUGAGAGUAAUACCGUAUCCGCCCUUCGGGGGAAAGAUUUAUCGGAGAAGGAUCGGCCCGCGUUAGAUUAGAUAGUUGGUGGGGUAAUGGCCUACCAAGUCUACGAUCUAUAGCUGGUUUUAGAGGAUGAUCACCCACACUGGGACUGAGACACGGCCCAGACUCCUACGGGAGGCAGCAGUGGGGAAUCUUAGACAAUGGGCGCAAGCCUGAUCUAGCCAUGCCGCGUGAGUGAUGAAGGCCUUAGGGUCGUAAAGCUCUUUCGCCAGAGAUGAUAAUGACAGUAUCUGGUAAAGAAACCCCGGCUAACUCCGUGCCAGCAGCCGCGGUAAUACGGAGGGGGUUAGCGUUGUUCGGAAUUACUGGGCGUAAAGCGCGCGUAGGCGGACUAGUCAGUCAGAGGUGAAAUCCCAGGGCUCAACCCUGGAACUGCCUUUGAUACUGCUAGUCUUGAGUUCGAGAGAGGUGAGUGGAAUUCCGAGUGUAGAGGUGAAAUUCGUAGAUAUUCGGAGGAACACCAGUGGCGAAGGCGGCUCACUGGCUCGAUACUGACGCUGAGGUGCGAAAGUGUGGGGAGCAAACAGGAUUAGAU